rnacentral:rRNA from 1 species
AGCAGCCGCGGUAAUUCCAGCUCCAAUAGCGUAUAUUAAAGUUGUUGCAGUUAAAAAGCUCGUAGUUGAAUUUUGGAUUCUGCCAGUUGGUCCAUCUUUUGAUGAGUACUGAUUGUGUGGGGUCUAUCCGCCUGGUGAUACGUAAUGUACUUUAUUGUAUGUUGCGGGUAGUCAGGACCUUUACCUUGAAAAAUUAGAGUGUUUAAAGCAGGCUUAUGCCGGAAUACAUUAGCAUGGAAUAAUAGAAUAGGACGAUGUUGUUUUAUUUUGUUGGUUUCUAGGACAACCGUAAUGAUUAAUAGGGAUAGUUGGGGGCAUUAGUAUUCAAUUGUCAGAGGUGAAAUUCUUGGAUUUAUUGAAGACUAACUACUGCGAAAGCAUUUGCCAAGGAUGUUUUCAUUAAUCAAGAACGAAAGUUAGGGGAUCGAAGACGAUCAGAUACCGUCGUAGUCUUAACCAUAAACUAUGCCGACUAGGGAUCGGGCGAUGUUGUUUCAAUGACUCGCUCGGCACCUU